CCUACGGGAGGCAGCAGUGAGGAAUAUUGGUCAAUGGACGAGAGUCUGAACCAGCCAAGUAGCGUGAAGGAUGACUGCCCUAUGGGUUGUAAACUUCUUUUAUAUGGGAAUAAAAUGUUCCACGUGUGGGCUUUUGUAUGUACCAUAUGAAUAAGGAUCGGCUAACUCCGUGCCAGCAGCCGCGGUAAUACGGAGGAUCCGAGCGUUAUCCGGAUUUAUUGGGUUUAAAGGGAGCGUAGGUGGAUUGUUAAGUCAGUUGUGAAAGUUUGCGGCUCAACCGUAAAAUUGCAGUUGAAACUGGCAGUCUUGAGUAGAGUAGAGGUGGGCGGAAUUCGUGGUGUAGCGGUGAAAUGCUUAGAUAUCACGCAGAACUCCGAUUGCGAAGGCAGCUCACUGGCCUGCAACUGACACUGAGGCUCGAAAGUGUGGGUAUCAAACAGGAUUAGAUACCCCUGUAGUC
rnacentral:rRNA from 1 species